rnacentral:rRNA from 1 species
ACGGGAGGCAGCAGCUAAGAAUAUUCCGCAAUGGGGGAAACCCUGACGGAGCGACGCCGCGUGGACGAUGAAGGCCGGAAGGUUGUAAAGUCCUUUUAUGGCAGAGGAAUAAGCGGGGGAGUGGAAAGCCCCUGCGAUGACUGUAGGCCAUGAAUAAGCACCGGCUAAUUACGUGCCAGCAGCCGCGGUAACACGUAAGGUGCGAGCGUUGUUCGGAAUCACUGGGCGUAAAGGGAGCGCAGGCGGAGAUGCAAGCAGUCUGUACAAUACCGGGGCCCAACCCCGGACCUGCAGACUGGACUGUUUCUCUUGGAUAGUUCAGGGGCAAGCGGAAUUCCUGGUGUAGCGGUGGAAUGCGUAGAGAUCAGGAAGAACACCGAUGGCGAAGGCAGCUUGCUGGGGACUUAUCGACGCUCAUGCUCGAAAGUGCGGGUAGCAAACAGGAUUAGAUACCCUGGUA